rnacentral:rRNA from 1 species
GGGCUGCAGUAUUUUGACUGUACAAAGGUAGCAUAAUCAAUAGUCUCUUAAUUGGUGACUUGUAUGAAAGAUUGGAUGAAAUAUAUACUGUCUCUGGUUAAUUUAUAGAAAUUAAUUUUUUAGUAAAAAAGCUAAAAUAAUUUUAAAAGACGAGAAGACCCUAUAGAGUUUAAUAAUUUAUUUAAUUAUUAUUAAUAUAUAAUUUUUAAAAUUAAAAUUAAAUAAAUUAUUUUGUUGGGGKGACAGAAAAAUUAAAUUAACUUUUUUUAAUUAUUUACAUUAAUUUAUGGUUAAAUGAUCCAUUUAUAAUGAUUAAAAGAAAAAAUUACCUUAGGGAUAACAGCGUAAUUUUUUUUUUUAGUUCAAAUAGGAAAAAAAGUUUGCGACCUCGAUGUUGGAUUAA